rnacentral:rRNA from 1 species
GACGAACGCUGGCGGCGCGCCUAACACAUGCAAGUCGAACGGAGUCAAGAGGAGCUUGCUUUUCUUGACUUAGUGGCGAACGGGUGAGUAACGCGUGAGUAACCUGCCCUGGAGUGGGGGACAACAGUUGGAAACGACUGCUAAUACCGCAUAAGCCCACGGAUCUGCAUGGAUCUGCGGGAAAAGGAUUUAUUCGCUCUAGGAUGGACUCGCGUCCAAUUAGCUAGUUGGUGAGGUAACGGCCCACCAAGGCGACGAUUGGUAGCCGGACUGAGAGGUUGAACGGCCACAUUGGGACUGAGACACGGCCCAGACUCCUACGGGGGGCAGCAGUGGGGGAUAUUGCACAAUGGGGGAAACCCUGAUGCAGCGACGCCGCGUGGAGGAAGAAGGUUUUCGGAUUGUAAACUCCUGUCGUUAGGGACGAUAAUGACGGUACCUAACAAGAAAGCACCGGCUAACUACGUG